ensembl:lncRNA
UUUUGUACAAAAUUCUUAUUAUAUUUGUAAGAACCAUGUCCAGUAGAAGUCAUUGUUUGAAAGCAGCUUGGAAUCGAAGAAAGCACCGGAACCACGGCGAAAUCAGUGGGAUCUAGCAUGUUGCAGCACACGGUUUGAAAAAGCAUGUGAUCAAACGAAGCAUCGGACAUCAUUGAUGAUAUACUUCUGAUAAGGGUGGUGUCUAAUUCCCAUUGAAAUUCAGCCAAGUGGCGGAUUUGCUACGUUCGGACUGAAUUUUGCAUUCGGACUGAUUGCAAGUGUCGAGAGAGGAGCCGGCAAGGCCAGGACUAAAGACGUCAUGCUGACCAUGUUCUGUGGACACGUUCCCUCGCCCUCAUUAGAUGGUUAACCAGUGAGCAGUCAGGCAGAGGGAACGGGCCCCUCUAACCGGCCCGUCUGUUUCAUCUUUCAAAGCAGGGGGACGCUAACCAAUUCGCACUCUGGGCGGCACAAACCCUUUUACCCCAUGAAAACAAAAAUUACAAAAAAUAUUACAAUUAAAAUGAAAAAGUGAGGAUGAAUGAAGAGGCAGUGAGAGAGGGAGGAGAACGGGAAGGCUUUGAUUGUUGUUCCUAUUCAAAUCAGUACAUAACAACAUCUGACAUGCAUGACAGUAACUGCUUGCUAAUUAUGGCACAGCUUUGCUGUACGGGGUUGUUGUGUCACCGGGACCCCCAGACAAUCUGUCGAUUGUUGUGUGAGAAGAUUGGUCCGACAGGACAGAACAGGGCCAGGCCAGCCGCUUUCCUCUAACCAAUUAUCCCCAUUUACUAUCGCUGCUUGAAGCUGCUUCGCUGGCCCGCCUGCCAUGAACAAGGAAAAAAAGAUGGAGGUAGCGAGGACAAAUGAAAGCAAAAGAAAGACAGAUGAAGAAAGAGAGAGAGAGAAAAGACAUGAGUAUCAACGCUCCUGAAGUUUGGAUGGAGUUGGAGACACUAGUAGGUGUGAAAACAGAGAACUUACGUAAAACAAAACCUCGGCCAUUUUAAGUUUGGACGGAGAGAGAUAGAGAGGUUCUGUAGCUUUGCCUAAUGAGCUCAGCCACCACCUUGCCUCAGUUUGAAGGGGGAGGAGGGGGCGAAAAAGGGACUAUUAUGAAUUGAGUUAAUGAGCCUUGGGGUUGGAAAGCGGGUGAGGUGAGGGUGGCGGUCAAAUUCUAUUGCUCCCGGCCUCACCCCGAGCCCCCCUCCCCUUCCCUCCCUGUCCCUUUGAUUUAACAAGUGAACAAUUCUACUGCAGGUGUUUUAGACGUGCACUGAUCUAGGCUGAUGGAUUCCUCUGGUUAACUGUACUGAGAGUGUCGCAUUUAUCCAACGGGUUUCUGCACCGAAGGUUUUAGUCCAGCGUUUCCCAAACUUCAUUCUGGUUCUCUUGAUUUGAAAAUGGGGUCGCAAGAAAAACUCUAAGAAAUCAAAUCAAAUUGUGCUUGGUUCAUAGAACCGGGGUUACGUUAGUAACCUCCGGUAGCCGCUAGAUGUGGUUGUAAUAAACAGAGUGGUUUCUGUUUCCUUCCUACAAAUGUGGCUCUAACUUUUGAACGGUUUAAGAUACAAAAUAUUAUGACCACAUCACUGAAAGAUAAGUGUCUCUGGAACACGUAUGUAUCCGUUUCCCUCUACAAUGACCACAAGCCUCAUUAGAACAGUGGACAAAUUAUGAUGUAAUUUCCUACACAGAAGAUUAUACAAAUCAUUGCCUGAUGAUCUUCUGAACUUCCCAGUACCUUUUCUGAUGUAUUUCAGUCACUUCAAACCAUUCUUUCUUCAGAUUGAAAUACUGUCAAAAUUACUGUCUUAUUGAUUUGAA